UACGGGGGGCGCAAGCGUUGUUCGGAAUUACUGGGCGUAAAGCGCGUGUAGGCGGUCUGGUAAGUCGGUUGUGAAAUCCCCGGGCUCAACCCGGGAACUGCAUCCGAAACUUCCAGGCUAGAGUUUCGGAGAGGAAGGCAGAAUUCCCAAUGUAGGGGUGAAAUCCGUAGAUAUUGGGAGGAAUACCAGUGGCGAAGGCGGCCUUCUGGACGAUGACUGACGCUGAGACGCGAAAGCGUGGGGAGCAAACAGG
rnacentral:rRNA from 1 species